rnacentral:rRNA from 1 species
GAUGAACGCUGGCGGCGUGCCUAAUACAUGCAAGUCGAGCGAACAGACGAGGAGCUUGCUCCUCUGACGUUAGCGGCGGACGGGUGAGUAACACGUGGAUAACCUACCUAUAAGACUGGGAUAACUUCGGGAAACCGGAGCUAAUACCGGAUAAUAUAUUGAACCGCAUGGUUCAAUAGUUAAAGACGGUUUUGCUUUCACUUAUAGAUGGAUCCGCGCCGCAUUAGCUAGUUGGUAAGGUAACGGCUUACCAAGGCAACGAUGCGUAGCCGACCUGAGAGGGUGAUCGGCCACACUGGAACUGAGACACGGUCCAGACUCCUAAGGGAGGCAGCAGUAGGGAAUCUUCCGCAAUGGGCGAAAGCCUGAAGGAGCAACGCCGCGUGAGUGAUGAAGGUCUUCGGAUCGUAAAACUCUGUUAUUAGGGAAGAACAAAUGUGUAAGUAACUAUGCACGUCUUGACGGUACCUAAUCAGAAAGCCACGGCUAACUACGU